rnacentral:lncRNA from 1 species
CAGGCAGUGGGAACAACGAUGUGAGCCUUCACAGGGUUGCUCUAGCUUUGCUCCCUGGGAAGCAGGCUCUGAGAUGAAGAUCAGCAUGCAGGACUUUUGGGAGGGAGUGCUCUUGGAAUCAACUCCUAUAGGAGAGGAAAGAAAGAAAGGAUGCAGAAUUGGGAGGAGAAAAGUGGAGCUGUGAUUCAUUCCCAACAGAAGCCUCAGCCAAUCCCGCAGGAAGUUCUGAAGAUGGGAUGGUCCUUCACCUGAUCUGGUGCUGGGUAUUGGCUCCAAGAGCACUUCCUAAUAAACACCCUAUAUGCUGAUCUCCAUCUCAGAGUCUCAUCCCUGGUGGCCUCACACUGUGACAGUCAUCUUUAGUUCUGAUGUUAGUCUAACAUUUGAUCUGUUCUGAUCUCAAGUCCUC